GACGAACGCUGGCGGCGUGCUUAACACAUGCAAGUCGAACGGAAAGGCCCUGCUUUUGUGGGGUGCUCGAGUGGCGAACGGGUGAGUAACACGUGAGUAACCUGCCCUUGACUUUGGGAUAACUUCAGGAAACUGGGGCUAAUACCGGAUAGGAGCUCCUGCUGCAUGGUGGGGGUUGGAAAGUUUCGGCGGUUGGGGAUGGACUCGCGGCUUAUCAGCUUGUUGGUGGGGUAGUGGCUUACCAAGGCUUUGACGGGUAGCCGGCCUGAGAGGGUGACCGGCGACAUGGGGACUGAGAUAGGGCGCAGACUCGUACGGGAGGCAGCAGUGGGGAAUAUUACACAAUGGGCGGAAGCCUGAUGCAGAAGCGCCGCGUGCGGGAUGACGGCCUUCGGGUUGUAAACCGCUUUCGCCGGUGACGAAGCGUGAGUGACGGUAAUGGGUAAAGAAGCACCGGCUAACUACGUG
rnacentral:rRNA from 1 species